rnacentral:rRNA from 1 species
GCUCAGGAUGAACGCUAGCGGCAGGCCUAAUACAUGCAAGUCGAACGGUAGACUACUUUCGGGUAGUUGAGAGUGGCGCACGGGUGCGUAACGCGUAUGCAACCUACCUUGUACAGGGGGAUAGCCCGGAGAAAUUCGGAUUAAUACCCCAUAGCAUUACCAGAUGGCAUCUGAAGGUAAUUAAAGAUUUAUCGGUACAAGAUGGGCAUGCGUGACAUUAGUUAGUUGGUAGGGUAACGGCCUACCAAGACUAUGAUGUCUAGGGGUUCUGAGAGGAUGAUCCCCCACACUGGUACUGAGAUACGGACCAGACUCCUACGGGAGGCAGCAGUAGGGAAUAUUGGUCAAUGGGCGAGAGCCUGAACCAGCCAUGCCGCGUGCAGGAAGACGGCCUUCUGGGUUGUAAACUGCUUUUAUACGGGAAGAAAAGACCCUUGCGAGGGAGAUUGCCGGUACCGUAUGAAUAAGCACCGGCUAACUCCGUGCCAGCAGCCGCGGUAAUACGGAGGGUGCAAGCGUUGUCCGGAUUUAUUGGGUUUAAAGGGUGCGUAGGCGGGCCUUUAAGUCAGUGGUGAAAGCCUGCAGCUUAACUGUAGAACUGCCAUUGAUACUGGAGGCCUUGAGUGUACUAGAGGUAGGCGGAAUUUAUGGUGUAGCGGUGAAAUGCAUAGAUACCAUAAAGAACACCGAUAGCGUAGGCAGCUUACUGGAGUACAACUGACGCUGAGGCACGAAAGCAUGGGGAGCGAACAGGAUUAGAUACCCUGGUAGUCCAUGCCGUAAACGAUGAUUACUCGAUGUUGGCGAUACACUGUCAGCGUCCAAGCGAAAGCGUUAAGUAAU